UUCCACAGCUACUGGUCUGCAGCUGUUCUUAAUGGUAGCAGUUGUGGCAUUCCUCUGUGGGAAAAGAAACUGUCAUACAAUUAAAAGCCUCUUUCUUAACUAAAUGGAAAGUGGGCAUGUGAAUGACAGACACAA
rnacentral:snoRNA from 1 species